UACGUAGGGGGCUAGCGUUGUCCGGAAUCAUUGGGCGUAAAGAGCGUGUAGGCGGCCCGGUAAGUCCGCUGUGAAAGUCGGGGGCUCAACCCUCGAAUGCCGGUGGAUACUGUCGGGCUAGAGUGCGGAAGAGGCGAGUGGAAUUCCUGGUGUAGCGGUGAAAUGCGCAGAUAUCAGGAGGAACACCGAUGGCGAAGGCAGAGCUCUGGGCCGUAACUGACGCUGAGGAGCGAAAGCGUGGGGAGCGAACAGG
rnacentral:rRNA from 1 species